rnacentral:rRNA from 1 species
UUUCCUACGGGUGGCAGCAGUGAGGAAUUUUGCGCAAUGGGAGCAAUCCUGACGCAGCAACGCCGCGUGGGUGAUGAAGGCCUUCGGGUCGUAAAGCCCUGUCAGGUGGGAAGAAUGUCCCGGGACUGAACAGGUUUCGGGAGUGACGGUACCACCAGAGGAAGCACCGGCUAACUCCGUGCCAGCAGCCGCGGUAAUACGGAGGGUGCAAGCGUUAUUCGGAAUUACUGGGCGUAAAGCGCGUGUAGGCGGCCCUGCAAGUCUGAUGUGAAAGCCCCGGGCUUAACCCGGGAAGUGCAUUGGAAACUGCAGGUCUUGAGUACUGGAGAGGAUGGGGGAAUUCCCGGUGUAGAGGUGAAAUUCGUAGAGAUCGGGAGGAAUAUCAGUGGCGAAGGCGCCCAUCUGGACGGUAACUGACGCUGAGACGCGAAAGCGUGGGGAGCAAACAGGAUUAGAUACCCCUGUAGUCAAC